AGCCGUGUGAUUGACACAAUGCGAACUAUUCUUUCGCCUUUUACUAAAGAAUACCGUGUGUUAGUCACAAUCAACGGUGUAUAUUAUUUUUUGAAAGGAUUUCUUUCUGGGAAUCC
rfam:Ipomoea nil DNA, scaffold: scaffold3069, cultivar: Tokyo-kokei standard.